rnacentral:rRNA from 1 species
UAAUAAAUUAAAUCUUAUAAACAUAAUUAUAAAUUAAAGAAAACAUUUUAUAAUAUUUAGUACUGCAAAGGAAAAUAAUAAUUUAAUUAGUAGUAUAACACGUACCUUGUGCAUAAUGGAUUUACAAGAUAUACUAUAAAAUAUUAACCCGAAUUUUUAGUGAGCUGAAUACUAACUGUUUAGAACUUAUAGGUAAAUGUUUCAAUAUUUUCUAAAGAUUAUUAUUCAGGGGCUACAUACCAAUCGCACAAAAAUAUAGCUGGUUUCUACUAAAUACUAUACAUUAGAACAUCUAUAAUAGAAUGUAAAAUAAUAAAAGAUAAGUUUUAUUAUAUAAUCUAUAAUUAAAAUAAAAUUUAUAAUUAGUAGGCUUAAUAACAGCCAUCUUAUAAUACUUUAUAGUAAAAUAUAAUUUAUAUAUUUAUAAAUUUCUAUGAUAAAUAUAAGUAGAUAUUAAAAUAAAUUAAAAGUUUUAAUUAUUUAUGUAAAUAUAAGUAUUAUAUAAAAUAUAUUAAAGGAACUAGGCAAAUAUUAUUUCGACUGUUUAACAAAAACAUUUCUUUUAGAAUAUAAAUUAAAAGUACGCCCUGCCCAAUGAAAUUUUAAUGGCCGCGGUAUCCUAACCGUGCAAAGGUAGCAUAAUAACUUGUCUAUUAAUUGUAGACUAGAAUGAAGGGGUAUACGAAAUAAAUACUGUCUCUAAUAUAUAAAUAAAAAUUAUCUUUUAGGUGAAGAGACCUAAAUAAAAUUAAAAGACAAGAAGACCCUAUUGAACUUUACUUUAAAUAUAAAUAAAUUAUAUUAUAGUUUGGUUGGGGUGACCUAGGAAUACUUAACAUCCUAAAAAAGAUAAGAUAUAUUAAUCUUUAAUUGAUCCAGUAUAUGAUAAAUAAAUUAAGCUACCAUAGGGAUAACAGGCUAAUAUUUUUUUAGAGUUCUUAUCAACAAAAAUGUUUGGCACCUCGAUGUUGGCUUAGGAAUACAUUAUGACGCAGAAGUCAUUAAUGCGGGUUUGUUCAACCUAUAAAAUCCUACAUGAGCUGAGUUCAGACCGGCGUAAGCCAGGUUAGAUUCUAUCUUUAAUAAUAAAUUAUUAUCUUUAGUACGAAAGGACCUAGAUAAUUCUAUAAUAGAUAUAAAUUAAAUAAUUUAAACUAUA